rnacentral:rRNA from 1 species
GAUGAACUUUGGCGGCGUGCUUAACACAUGCAAGUCGAACGGAAAGGCUCCUGCUUGCAGGGGUACUCGAGUGGCGAACGGGUGAGUAACACGUGGGUGAUCUGCCCUGCACUUCGGGAUAAGCCUGGGAAACUGGGUCUAAUACCGGAUAGGACGAUGGUUUGGAUGCCAUUGUGGAAAGUUUUUUCGGUGUGGGAUGAGCUCGCGGCCUAUCAGCUUGUUGGUGGGGUAAUGGCCUACCAAGGCGUCGACGGGUAGCCGGCCUGAGAGGGUGUACGGCCACAUUGGGACUGAGAUACGGCCCAGACUCCUACGGGAGGCAGCAGUGGGGAAUAUUGCACAAUGGGCGCAAGCCUGAUGCAGCGACGCCGCGUGGGGGAUGACGGCCUUCGGGUUGUAAACUCCUUUCGCUAGGAACGAAGCGUUUUGUGACGGUACCUGGAGAAGAAGCACCGGCUAACUACGUGCCAGCAGCCGCGGUAAUACGUAGGGUGCGAGCGUUGUCCGGAAUUACUGGGCGUAAAGAGCUCGUAGGUGGUUUGUCGCGUCGUUUGUGUAAGCCCGCAGCUUAACUGCGGGACUGCAGGCGAUACGGGCAUAACUUGAGUGCUGUAGGGGAGACUGGAAUUCCUGGUGUAGCGGUGGAAUGCGCAGAUAUCAGGAGGAACACCGAUGGCGAAGGCAGGUCUCUGGGCAGUAACUGACGCUGAGGAGCGAAAGCAUGGGUAGCGAACAGGAUUAGAUACCCUGGUAGUCCAUGCCGUAAACGGUGGGCGCUAGGUGUGAGUCCCUUCCACGGGGUUCGUGCCGUAGCUAACGCAUUAAGCGCCCCGCCUGGGGAGUACGGCCGCAAGGCUAAAACUCAAAGGAAUUGACGGGGGCCCGCACAAGCGGCGGAGCAUGUGGAUUAAUUCGAUGCAACGCGAAGAACCUUACCUGGGCUUGACAUACACCAGAUCGCUGCAGAGAUGUAGUUUCCCUUUGUGGUUGGUGCACAGGUGGUGCAUGGUUGUCGUCAGCUCGUGUCGUGAGAUGUUGGGUUAAGUCCCGCAACGAGCGCAACCCUUGUCUUAUGUUGCCAGCACGUUAUGGUGGGGACUCGUGAGAGACUGCCGGGGUUAACUCGGAGGAAGGUGGGGAUGACGUCAAAUCAUCAUGCCCCUUAUGUCCAGGGCUUCACACAUGCUACAAUGGUCGGUACAACGCGUCUGCGAGCCUGUGAGGGUGAGCUAAUCGCUGUAAAGCCGGUCGUAGUUCGGAUUGGGGUCUGCAACUCGACCCCAUGAAGUCGGAGUCGCUAGUAAUCGCAGAUCAGCAACGCUGCGGUGAAUACGUUCCCGGGCCU